rnacentral:rRNA from 1 species
AGCAGCCGCGGUAAUUCCAGCUCCAAUAGCGUAUAUUAAAGUUGUUGCAGUUAAAAAGCUCGUAGUUGAAUUUCGGGACUAAUAUGUCGGUCGUACUUUGUACGUACUAGCAUUAUUGGUUUCUCCCUUCUGACGAACCACGAUGUCAUUAAUUUGGUGUCAUGGGAAAUCAGGACUGUUACUUUGAAAAAAUUAGAGUGUUUAAAGCAAGCUCGCGCUUGAAUACAUUAGCAUGGAAUAAUGAAAUAGGACGUUUGAUUCUAUUUUGUUGGUUUCUAGGAUCGACGUAAUGAUUAAUAGGGAUAGUUGGGGGCAUUAGUAUUCAAUUGUCAGAGGUGAAAUUCUUGGAUUUAUUGAAGACUAACUACUGUGAAAGCAUUUGCCAAGGAUGUUUUCAUUAAUCAAGAACGAAAGUUAGGGGAUCGAAGACGAUCAGAUACCGUCGUAGUCUUAACCAUAAACUAUGCCGACUAGG